CCAAAUCGUUAAGCCUAGUUCAGGGAUCAGGGCUGCUUCGCUGUUCUGGUAAUUAAUUUUGGAACAUUAAGACAAGAUCUGGGAGAAAUUGGGUAGAUGGUAUAUCUCUAUUCAUUUUCCUUCCUGCCUGCAAAA